GCAAGUCGAACGGUAACAGGAGGAAGCUUGCUUCUUUGCUGACGAGUGGCGGACGGGUGAGUAAUGUCUGGGAAACUGCCUGAUGGAGGGGGAUAACUACUGGAAACGGUAGCUAAUACCGCAUAACGUCGCAAGACCAAAGAGGGGGACCUUCGGGCCUCUUGCCAUCGGAUGUGCCCAGAUGGGAUUAGCUAGUAGGUGGGGUAACGGCUCACCUAGGCGACGAUCCCUAGCUGGUCUGAGAGGAUGACCAGCCACACUGGAACUGAGACACGGUCCAGACUCCUACGGGAGGCAGCAGUGGGGAAUAUUGCACAAUGGGCGCAAGCCUGAUGCAGCCAUGCCGCGUGUAUGAAGAAGGCCUUCGGGUUGUAAAGUACUUUCAGCGGGGAGGAAGGGAGUAAAGUUAAUACCUUUGCUCAUUGACGUUACCCGCAGAAGAAGCACCGGCUAACUCCGUGCCAGCAGCCGCGGUAAUACGGAGGGUGCAAGCGUUAAUCGGAAUUACUGGGCGUAAAGCGCACGCAGGCGGUUUGUUAAGUCAGAUGUGAAAUCCCCGGGCUCAACCUGGGAACUGCAUCUGAUACUGGCAAGCUUGAGUCUCGUAGAGGGGGGUAGAAUUCCAGGUGUAGCGGUGAAAUGCGUAGAGA
rnacentral:rRNA from 1 species